rnacentral:rRNA from 1 species
AACGAACGCUGGCGGCAUGCCUAACACAUGCAAGUCGAACGAGACCUUCGGGUCUAGUGGCGCACGGGUGCUUAACGCGUGGGAACCUGCCCUUAGGUUCGGAAUAACUCCCCGAAAGGGGUGCUAAUACCGGAUAAUGUCUUCGGACCAAAGAUCUAUCGCCUUUGGAUGGGCCCGCGUUGGAUUAGCGAGCUGGUAGGGUAAAAGCCUACCAAGGCGACGAUCCAUAGCUGGUCUGAGAGGAUGAUCAGGCACACUGGGACUGACAGACGGCCCAGACCCUUACCGGAGGACGCAGUGGGGAAUAUUGGACAACGGGCGAAAGACUGAGCCAGCAAUGCCGCGAGGGUGAUGAAGGAGUGAGGGUUGUAAAGCUCUUUUACACGGGCUGAUAAUGACGGUACCGGAAGAAUAAGCUCCGGCUAACUCCGUG